UCCCUGGUGGUCCAGAGGUUAAGACCCUGCACUCCCAACGCAGGGGGCCCAGGUUCAACUCCUGGUCAGGGAA